rnacentral:rRNA from 1 species
CCUACGGGAGGCAGCAGUGGGGGAUAUUGCACAAUGGGGGAAACCCUGAUGCAGCGACGCCGCGUGGGCGAAGAAGUAUUUCGGUAUGUAAAGCCCUAUCAGCAGGGAAGAAGAAAUGACGGUACCUGAGUAAGAAGCACCGGCUAAAUACGUGCCAGCAGCCGCGGUAAUACGUAUGGUGCAAGCGUUAUCCGGAUUUACUGGGUGUAAAGGGAGCGCAGGCGGCACGGCAAGCCUGAUGUGAAAGCCCGCGGCCCAACCGCGGGACUGCAUUGGGAACUACCGGGCUGGAGUGCCGGAGAGGUAGGCGGAAUUCCUAGUGUAGCGGUGAAAUGCGUAGAUAUUAGGAGGAACACCAGUGGCGAAGGCGGCUUACUGGACAGUAACUGACGUUGAGGCUCGAAAGCGUGGGGAGCAAACAGGAUUAGAUACCCCUGUAGUC